rnacentral:rRNA from 1 species
AUGAACGCUGGCGGCGUGCCUAAUACAUGCAAGUCGAGCGAACAGACGAGGAGCUUGCUCCUCUGACGUUAGCGGCGGACGGGUGAGUAACACGUGGAUAACCUACCUAUAAGACUGGGAUAACUUCGGGAAACCGGAGCUAAUACCGGAUAAUAUAUUGAACCGCAUGGUUCAAUAGUGAAAGACGGUUUUGCUGUCACUUAUAGAUGGAUCCGCGCCGCAUUAGCUAGUUGGUAAGGUAACGGCUUACCAAGGCAACGAUGCGUAGCCGACCUGAGAGGGUGAUCGGCCACACUGGAACUGAGACAUGGUCCAGACUCCUACGGGAGGCAGCAGUAGGGAAUCUUCCGCAAUGGGCGAAAGCUUGACGGAGCAACGCCGCGUGAGUGAUGAAGGUCUUCGGAUCGUAAAACUCUGUUAUUAGGGAAGAACAAAUGUGUAAGUAACUAUGCACGUCUUGACGGUACCUAAUCAGAAAGCCACGGCUAACUACGUG